rnacentral:tRNA from 1 species
AUAAGAAACAAAAUUUGUAUUUAGUUUCGACCUAAAAUUUAGGUAAUUUAUUUACCCUUAUU